rnacentral:lncRNA from 1 species
UUUUUUUUUUUGGUUUUGUUGUAAAUGGUCAAAAGAGAAGUUUAAAAUUUUGCAUGUUUAAUAUUAGACCUAGCUAUUUAUAUGUAACAGUUAAAAUUAUUGAACUAUACUGAAUGUCUGUUCUAAGUUCUGUUUUGAUUAGUAAUGCCUCUUAACCCUAAUUCAGUGAUGGAUAUGGGUUAGAGGUGUUACAAUAACACUAACUACACUAAGAAUUAUAACUCUAAUGGUUUCAAUUGGUAAAAUUACUAAUGAAAUCAAGUAGUGGUCGGUUCUCUCUCUCGCUAAUGAUGGAUUUAUACCUAAAUAAUCUAAACACACGAUUAUUAGCCUAGUAACAUUCACCUCUCGGUCUCAAAUAACUUCUAGAAGCAUAAUGAAAUCUCCUCUUAGUCUCAUUCAAUUAAGCCUAACUAAAUCAUAUCUACUCGAUAGGGUGUCCUCUUGUCCUAUCUUAUCUCAAUUUUCACUCAAAGAUGUCAAUUUUGAGUUAUUGACAUAGUCAAUUUAACCCAAAGCAUACAUUCAAAUUAACAAAAGGCAUAAAAUCACAUCACAAGCGAUAAAUAUAACCAAUCGCAUAAAGAAAUUAGUUAAUUUCCAUGGAAAAUACAAAUACACAAUAAAAUUCCAUUCAAUUCAAUAUAAUGAAAUCAAAGGAAAAUUAAGAGUUUAAGAAAUACUCAUUAAAAUGAGAAAUCCUUAAAUUUGAGAAGUUCAAUGUAUUUCAUCCACAAAUAAUCUUGAUGGCCAACAAUAAAAAUAGCAAUUUAAAGUAGAAAAAUGAAAAACUCUGAAAUUUUGUCUAAAAAUUCUAACCUAGAAAUGUCUAUCAACAAAAACUAAUAAUAAAAUAUGUUGUCUAAAACUAAUCUCUCUUUUACGUCCUUAUUUGCUAAUUAUAAAGUGGUAUUUAUACUAAAAACCUAAAUAGCCAGCCAUUUACAUCAUUGCCCAUCAUAAAAUUAUCAUACUAAGGCAUUUUUUACUCAAUCUUCCACUAUUUACCCUAAUAAAGAUUGCAGAUUUUGACAGUUACGAAAGUUAUUGUUGCAAUGUGAGCUUUUUCUUUCCCAAUUCAGCUUAAGUCACCUGGUGGUUAUCACGACAAUGAGUUUUCCAGUUCAAUUCUUUGGCAAGUCAGAGGCUUCAUGGUUCUAACAAGGACAAGAUAUGGUCACGACCAUGGCUUAGUUGAGGGAACUCCUUAGUUAGCAAGGUCAUGGUCACAACAAGGAAUCCACACCUUACUUUUUUUCUAUUUGCAUCCCUCCAUUGAGUCUUACAAUGUUCUUUUCACAUCUUUAGGUCCAUGUAUGAAGGUAAUUAGUUUAUUUAUUCAAAAUACAAUAAAAAAACAUGUAAACUAAAUCCUAAUGCUAAUGCAAAAAGUAAUAAAAUGACUCUACAUGCUACUUGAAAACAAGCUCCUUAAGUGUGAAAAUGGUCUAAUUUACCACAUCAAAUUAUAAUGUAUCAAACUCAUCCGCACUUAAGUCUUUGCUUAUCCUCAAGCAAACAAUACACACACACAAAUGAUCCUCAAGUUUCGUUGAACAUUGAAAAUGUAAAAGACAUGUCUCACACCCAAAUUAAGAUUGUUGUCUUACUAAUUCAAAUACUUCAGACCAAGUUCACACAGUUCAAUAAGUUAAAAAGCCAACAAACAUAAAGGUAAUUCAAGUGAAUAUUUGCUCAAUUGUGUCAGUCCAUCAAGAUGAAUUAAAUAGUGUCAUUAUAGAUACUCAAGUAUAAAUCACAAACAUUCAUCAAUUCUAACAUGAAUAAUUCAGGAAAUUCAUACGAAAGGGAAUGUUUGUCACAUUACUCUUCUAGGCUUGUAACGUUUCGAGGCAUAGGAUGAUUUGAAUUAAAAAUAAAAGUUAGUUUAAAAUGAUUUCAAGCCCUAGAAAUAGAGAAGCUCGUGACAUUGUUCCGUUUUGUCCCUCGAUUUAUCAAUAAACUCACCUUCUUAUCAUUCUCUCUCCUUUUUUUUUCUUAAGUGAUUAAGACAUGGUUCAAUAUUGUCAAAUCUAAAAGCUAGAAAGUUUAUAUGCAUUAAGAAAGCUAAAGAAUUUCUUUAAGAUCAAGAAUAUUUUAUCAAUUUAUCAUAUUCUAACAUUUAUCUUCUUUCAUUCACAAUGAUUUCAAACCCUCGUCGUGCUUUUAUUCACUAAUGAAUUUUCAUUUAUGCACUUACAAGCAAAGUAUCUAUACCUACCAUAUUGAGUCAUUUCUUCAUUUUUCCACUCAUAUAAUUAUUUUGAAACCUACAAAAUGUAUCUACCUAAACCUUAAGGUCCAUGGCUCGAUGUCCAUUUUAUAGUACAAAAACAAAGAUAAUGACAAUGAAGGUUUUAGUUAUACACUCACUUUAGGCUUAAGGCUUCAAACAAUAAAGCUUCACCAAGAAAGAGGUAUAAAAGCUCAAACAUGGGACCUUGGGAUAACAUAGUGACAAGGUUGGCUCGAUUAGAUUCUAGCUAUACAAGUAAUGCCUUUGAUCAUCUCUAAACAUUUCACAAUUAUAUAAUUUUCAUCAUAUUCAACAUUUAAACAAAUAAAUAACAUGUGAUUCAAGCACUUAUUAUCUAAAAAUAUCAAUCCAAUACAUCUAUCAUAUGACACAAUUUCACACAAAUUCACAUCAAAAUAAUCACUUAUAGUCUAUUAGGCAAUUUUACACUAUUGAACUAAGCAACAUACUCCAAAGAACGCAAUUAACUACCAUCAAUCACAAUUCACAUCUCAAUUAUCAAUACAAGUUCAACAAUGAUCACCAAUAGACUAAGUCUCAUGUAACUCAAGCACCAUACAAAACACUAAAAAAAUUAAAAAAAAUUAAAAAUUUUUGCUAAAAACACAGAAAUAGCAAAAAUAAAAACACCCAACAAAUAAAAUAAAAACUUAUGCAAUCCCCCCCCCACACACUUAAGUUACACAUUGCCCCCAAUAACUAAAGAUAAAGUUUAAGGAAACUGCCUUUUUCCAAUUUUCGUACCAUAUUUAAAUAUGAAAAACUAUGCUCUUUAAGCACCUAAAGAGCUUGUUUUGAGGAAAUUAGUAGAGUACUUUAAUGUUUCCUGUACUUCGGAUAGAUUCCAUUUUUGUAUGCAAUUUGUGGUAUGUUUUAUGUUUUUUUUUCUAAGUGAAAUAGCCAUCAUAAUCAAUUAUGGACUUAUUUUUGGGACAAGGCUUUUGUAGGGACUUAGUUGAGGAGAGUGAAAAGAAAAUUGAACUAAUUGGAGUGGAAGUGGAAACAUCACUUAUGAAUGUUACGACAUUGUGCACCUUUCAUCAACCAAAGAGCCAACCUUCAACAAUUGAACCUCGAGUAGCCUAAUUUCAAGGUCGCGACAUUGGUUCUUAAUGUCAUAACACUGUAUAUUUUCCAAUGCAACAACCUCAUCAUACUCCAAGUUGUAAAUGGAGGCCACUGAAGUCAAGGCCGCAGCAUAGGCAUACAAAUGUCAAGACUAUUGGAACGCCGGCACCCCUACAGCGCAGCGAAAAAUAAAACACUCGGUGAUCCUAACCAUGAAUCCAAGUGUGAGGAAUGAAUCGAGGUAAAAAAGGGUUUCGAAAUUAUCGAAUGGUGAUUCUGAGUUGACAGCGACUCCUCGGCAACGAGUAAUCUGAUCUACUGUCGAACCAAGCCGUAAUCUUUGAUGACUCCGACCUCUACGUAAUCCACCCAAUUGACUAUGAACGGAAGGAAUCCCCAAACAGUUUUGGAGAAGACUUAGCUUUGACGGCUGCUAGACUCACUAAGCAAAGAAAACUGGGAUUUUAUAUCUUAUUAUUAUUUUUAGGGUUUCUCAAAAUUAAAUAAAUAAAUAUAAUAAUGUUUAAAAACUGAAAAUUAUAAUUACAUUAAUUAUAAUCAAUGUUUCGGUAAACUAUAUUUAUUUAUAUACGAACCAAAAUCAUAUUCUCAUUAUGUGUACAACAACCUUGUACAUAUAAUGUGUCCGAUAUUUGAUUAACCAAUUAAAUUAAUUCUAUAAUUAAUUUAAUUCAUGCGACAACCAAACACAAUACCAAUUAUGUUUUAUUCCGUUCAUUUCAACUAUAGGGUAUGAUCCUGUAGGUUCUUGUAACGUUAGCACUAAUGUUAGAACAAUUCCAAUGUUACAAACAAUGAGUGGCACCUAGCAAUGCAUCAUUGCUACCUAAGUCACAAGAAAUCAUUAUUCGACAUAACCUUUUUAAGAUUAAUCUUUUCAUAAUCCUUAAGUCCUUUAUCUCUGGAUUGAACAAAAGUCAUGGAAUAGUCACACUUGUAUAGUUCAUUCCAUGUUCAUUGAUAUCUUAAGUAGACUAUGAGAUAUAAAUAAGUAUGACAUCUCAUAUCAGCUUAUUUGAGCAUGACCAUGCAUUUCUAGUCUCACUCAAUCAAGUUGCCUAAGAUAUUACUCCCAUUAUAUAGGAGGGACUUAUCCUAAAUCGACCAGCCAUAUCCCUCUACAUAGAUUGUGCUAUAUCCAACAUCAACCUUUAUAGAACAACCAGUUACGGUGUACGUUUAACUGUAUAAAAAUAUACAACUCACGAUGUUGGGAUUAUGAUGAUUCAAGUCUGAGGAUCAUAUACAUAUUAAUCACUAUGAUUAAUGUCGUGACAAUUACAUAAUAAUCCAAGAAACAUACUUAUAACGGGUCAGUCCAAUAUGUUGUUCUCUAACACACAUAUUCAUGAAUCGAUUCUGACAUUCCAUAUCAAUGACAACUCUUUAUCAUCAAUCAACUACAUGUUAGUCUUAAUACAUUAUCGUUGCCCUAUCUAACAAUAAUACUUGACUAAGAAACUUUUAAGAAUAAUCAUAUUAUUCUCAGGACAUUAUUAUAAAAUAGUUUAUUUAUACACACAGAAAAGAAACUGAAAUAAUAAUGGUAACGUCUAAUAUUAAUAAACAUGAUAAAUCAAGUAUGUUAUUACAACCAUCUCAUGAUUGAUCUUUGGGCAUACUCUAACAAAGACAUCAACACCAACUUGAAGUAGUCACGACAUAGGGUGAUUUGGAGCAAUAUAGGGACUUGCUCGAUGAAGAGGUUGUGGCAUCAAGCAUGGAUGUUGCGACAUUGAAGCCUAACGAGGUUAUUACUAAAACAAAAACUUGAAGGCAAAAUGGGGUCAAAAAAUUUACAAAUCAUUUUUUUAAGUGGGGUUAUUUUUGUAAAUGUUAGGUAAAGCCCUUAAAACCUAUAAAAACUAAUUUUAUUAGACUUUUUGAAAGAGAAAAAUUAGGUUAGUUAUUUUAUGGAUAAAAAUAUUCUUUUCUAACUUUUAAUUGUUUUUCAAUAAAAUAGUACAAGGACCAAUUUGUAGGUUACUUAUUCUACAUAAUUUCUUUUUCAAUUUUAUGUUUUUGGUAUUAAAUUGAAGGGUUCUAUUAUGAAAUGCAAUUUGUUUUUCAUUAAAAUUAAGGAUUUCAACAAAAAUACUAAGCAUUUCUAAACUUUUCAACUUCAUCCUUUUAAUUGAUUGAUUGUAUAAAUGAAUUGUUAUUUUAAUUGCAUAAUGGGCAUGAAAUGAAUCCUUGAGUGAUUGGUUGAUUGAAUUGUUAGUUUAUGAAUUUUAGUUCUAGGGACUAAAUUGAAAAAAAUAGUAAACUUAGAAUUAACGCCUCUAAGUGAAAAUCUAGAUAGAUAAGACUAAAAGAAGACCUUAUCGAGUAAUGAUUCAUUUAGUUCAUUUUAAUCAAAUGAGACCGAGAGGGUAAUUUGGUUAGAUUUCUCAUUUGGAUUAAAUUGGGACCAGGAGGUGAGAUUUAGUUAAACGAGAAAAUUGGUAAUUUAAGUUUCUUAUGUCUAAGUUCAUAGCUAAGAUGGAAAUCAUCCAAUCACUAUUGUUUCUCAAUUCUUAAUUUCAUAAAUUGAAUAUUUUUCACGUUUAUUCCUUUUAUUUAAGAAUUUUUAGACACUUAUCAUUUUCUUGAUUUCUGUACUAAUUAGUCACUUUAGCAGCCUAGUAGACUUUCCCAUGCAUGUAUUCUUAUUCGUAGCAUUUUAAUUAUGCAUUCUCCUUUGGGCUUGAUCCUUGAAAUAUUGUGUUCCAUAGUAAGAUCUUUAUUACAACUCAAUAUGUGACACUUGUAAACACCACACUUUACUUUUAUACAUCUAUUUUGCAUUGCUCAAUGUACACAUGCUAAAGUGCAAUCAAGUUGUUGAUCAACUUACAUUUUUCUACAUCUAUUUGAGAUUUAUAGGUUACUAGGAAUGAUUGUCUAAGAGAAUAGGAAUGUCUACUUCUUCUUUGAAAUUCAACACAAUAAAGCCAACGAGAAGAAUAAAAUGCCUAACCCGAACUAAGAUAUCCUUAAGGAUACCUUUAAGAUGACUAAAGAACUAUAUACUAAUUGGAGUGUGACGAUGUAGGACAUAACUCACAUAAUUCUAAUCAUUGAUAAAUGGACAAGGGCAUCAAAUUUAUGCUAGCCCUUAAGUUACAUAAAGCUUUAAUUUACCCCUCAUAUUUCUAUUAGAAUUGUAAAGCUCCCAGGUUUUUAACUUAAGAAAAUGAUAGCACUACAAUUAGCACUCACUGGUAUUUUCUCCUUUUUACCAAUCUUCUUAUGCUUAGACACAAUGUCAUGAAGAAACUUGGCAUACUUCGACAUUUUCUCAAAUAGCUCAAGAAGACCUAAAUUAAAACUAGGUUCACUUAACCAAACCAUACUUAUACAACAUACCAGGUGAUCAGUAAUUGGCAUGUCCCAAUCUCUUGUGCCACAAGUUAGUACCAUCAGUUAAACUAGAAUAGGCUUUAAAGGUAACUGAGUUUCAAUUUAGAACAAAGCUCGUACCAUUCAUAUUUACUAACAUAAGCUUGUGACCAAUUGAAUCAGAUACAACACAUUUAUUCUAUUCAAAAACAACAAAAUAAUUCUUCUCAAUAAGUUGACCAACACCGAGCAAGUAUUGACCUAAUCAUCAGUAAUAACUUUUGUACCUACAGAAGUGUUAACCUGAACAUCUCCCAUUCCCUUGGCUUCAAUGAUCUGGCCAUUUCAAACUCUGAUUCUCGAACUGAAUAAUCUAUCAAUCUCCUUGAACAUGCUUUCAUCUGAAACCAUAUGGUUUGUACAACCACUAUCAAUCAACUAGUUUUUCUUGUCUUGGUUGUUGACUGUGAAGCAUGAAGCAGUGAAUGUGAGCUCCUCCUAAGCUUGAUUUUCUUCAGCACUUGAGCCUGAUUAGACUACUAUUGUUGUUACUGUACUUUGUUUUUAUAAAUUCUAAAAUCGUGGCCAAAUUGCUUACAGUUUUUACACUGUGCACCAAUUUUUAUCCAACAAAACUUUUAUGAAUGACCCAUCUUUUUGCAAUUCGAUCAUGGUGGAUACUUUUUCUUUCCACCAUCUCUUUUUUGCCUUUCUCUUGCUUGAUUCCUUUUCUUCUUGCCUUUGUUUCUUGAAGAGCAUGGAGUUUCCUUGUUUCUCGCUUGGUAAGCACCUUCUACGUGAAAGACAUCAGUAAUAACUUUUGUACCUAUAGAAGUGCUAACCUAAACGUCCCCAUUUCCCUUGGCUUCAAUGAUCUGGCCAUUUCCAAGUCUGAUUCUCAAACUGAAGGAUAUGUCAAUCUCCUUGAACAUGCUUUCAUCUGAAACCAUAUGGUUUGUACAACCUCUGUCAAUCAACCAUUUUUUCUUAUCUUGGUUGUUGAUUUUGAAGCAUGAAGUAGUGAAUUCGAGCUCCUCCUGAGAUUGAUUUUCUUCAGCACUUGAGCCUGAUUAGACUGCUAUUGUUGCUGCUGCACUUUGUUUUUACAAAUUCUAAAAUUGUGGCCAAAUUGCUUACAAUUUUUACGCUACACACCAGGUCUUGUCCAGUAAAACUUUUCUAAAUGACCCAUCUUUUUGCAAUCCAAGCAUGGUGGAUACUUUUUCUUUUCACCAUCUCUUUUUAGCCUUUCUCUUGCUUGAUGCCAUUUCUUCUUGCCUUUGUUGCUUGAAAAGCAUAGAGUUUCCUUGUUUCUCACUUGGUAAGCACCUUUUGUGUGCCCUUCUUCUCUGCUAGCUCUUCUUUGCUCCGCGCAUAUAGAGCAUUUAUGAGCUCUGAUAGAGAGAUAGUUGUUAAAUCUCUCGUGUCCUCCAAGGAUAAGAUCUUGGACUUAUACUUCUUUAGCAGUGUUGUGAUGACUUUUUCAACAACCCUUCGAUCACUAAACUGAUCACCAAGAAACGUUAUGUUGUUGACAAUGGACAUGAUCCUAUCUGCAUACUGCUUGAUCAUUUCAGUUUCCUUUAUCUUCAAGUUCUCAAAGUCUCUCCUCAAAUUCAACAAUUGUUGUUGUCUUGUCUUCUCAAUCCCCUAGAACUCCUCCUUCAACUUAUCCUAGGCUUGUUUGGGAGUUUCACAAGCCAUAAUUCUCGUGAAAAUAACAUCAGACACACCAUUCUGAAGGCAAGACAAAGCCUUAUACUUCUUAGCAGCGUUAUCGCUAUACUGUCUAAUUUGAGCUAUCGUUGGAUUAACUUACAAAGGUGGUGGUUCUCUGUUUGAAACAACAACUUCCCACAAGUCAUAUGCCUAAAGAUACAUCUUCAUCUUCACUACCCAAAUAUGGUAGUUUUCUCUAGAAAAGAUAGGAGGUGGAGGUGGUGUAAAGCUUCUAGAUGACAUUGCAAUACAAACAAGAUACAAACAACACUUUGUGUUCAACAAGAAAAACACUUAGAAGUUCCUCUAAGGCUAAGGCUUUCUAUACCAAUUGUUAGAGUUUAGAGAAGUUGAGAGAACAAAAUAUUGAGAAAACAAAGAAAAAUACAUAGCAUAAUUUUUUUACUGCUAUCAAAUUUUCUCAUCUUUUUUUCAUUCAACAAGAAAUACAAUAUAUAUACGGGUGUAGUGAUUACACGUAAGUCAACUACCCCACUAAUACACCUUAAAAAUACAAAAAUAUAACUUGUACAUAAAUUGAUUAGGUAAAAGUCAGAACUUAAAAGGUUAAAUCAAUACUAACUCUGCUUAUCUAACAAGUGAUCUUAGCAAGUAGACUAAUAAAAAAAAAUCAUCAUCAGCAUAUGCGAACCCUUCUUAAAAUACGUCAGGUGGUUCGCCAACAACAUAUAAUAGCUCACACUUUGAUGAGCUCGCAACAUUAGUUGAGCUCGCAACCAUAGAGCUAGCAGACUUGCUUGAGCUCGCAGCUACAUAGGAAGAGUUCACCACUACAUGAAUGGCCACUUCGGAAUAGAGGAAAAGAAAUUAAGAAAAAGAACAUGUAAGCAUAGGCGGAGCAGGCAGGGACAGAAAUGAAAUUUUGCAAUUUUAGCUCCUUUAUAAUUUAUAAAUUUUAAAUUAGUAUAUGAUAAAAUUGUACAUCGACACUAAAAAAUAUAACAUUUUUAUUUGUUCCUUUAAAAUUUAUAAAGAUAUAGACUAUUAAAAAGGUAAAAUUAUAUUUUUGUUAUCAUAAAAAUAUAUUACUUAAUUCCAACUCUCAAAAAAAAUUACUUUACCUAUGUAUAUAAGUGUAAUUAAUUACAAGCUAACUGAAACAUUAAGUAAUAUUAAAAUAUAAAUUAACAAAGAUAAUCUAUUAUAUUGUAUAUAAGUUUAAAGGCUUAUUCGGGUAGCAAGUAAAUUUAAUUGGCUUAUUUGAAUGUAAUUAAAGUAUAAAGACUUUAUUUAAAUAAGAUAACAACAUUCAAGGGCUUAUUUAAUAUAUUAGCCAUUAUUGGAUUUAUAUUUCAAAUAUUGAUACCUAUAAAUUUAGAGUGAGUAUUUAUUACAUUAGUAAUAUACUUUUUUUUAUUUUACAAUUAACCUUAAAAAUUGACAUGUAUUUUUUUAAAAUAUAUAUUUUUUAAUAAUUUAUUAUACUCUAUAGGACACUUAUCAAUCUCUUAACCCUACUUAUGGAGUUUAAAAACUCCAAUAACAAUGUACCAAAUAUUUUCUUAUAAAUUUAUGUUUUAUUAGUGAAAUAAACGAUUACAGGUAUUGUAUUUUUUUUUAAAUUAAUAAUUUUGAUGCACUGGUGGUGGAAACUUUUAACUCUACAACUGGAUUAAGAUUUUGUCAUGUUUCCUUAAGUUGUAUUUAAAAUUUUUUAAAAUAAAUAAAUAUGACAUGUGGCAAAAUCUUAACCGCACUUAUGGAGUUAAAAAUUUACAUCACAUGUGCGCCAAAUAAUUACUCAUAAUAUAUUAUCAUGUAAUUUAUGGGUUAAUAUUUGGUAAACUCAAAGUGUUAUGUUUUUUUUAAUAUUUUAUUAAACAUUUCUAUAUGACACUUGUCAACCCAUUGGCCUUACUUGUGGAGUGUAAAAACUUAACUAUUAGUGUACCAAAUAUUUUCCCGUAAUUUAUUGAUAGUGUAUAAAAUUAUACAAUAUUAUUAUAUUAAGGGAUAGUAUUUAAUACAAUUUAUUGAUAGUGUACUUUUUUUUAUUCCUCAAGUAGCUUUAAAAAAUUGACAUAUGUCCCUUUUUUAAUAUUUUACUAUAACCAUGAAGGACAUUUGUCAACUCUCUGACUUUACUCAUGGGGUCUAAAAACUUUAUUAAUUGUGUACCAAAUUAUUUUCAUUAUAUUAAAUAUAACCCUUACCUAAAUAAUAUAAACAAUGGGUGAAUAUGAUAUCCAUUCAAAUUGCAUUAAUAGCUCGCAACAUAUUCGAAAUUUAAAUAUGAGUAUUGUGUUGUUUUAUUUCCCAAAAAAACAGGCGAAUAUUGGGACGUACACGUAUGAUACUAAAAAUAUUGGGUGAAUGAUAGUAUUUCUUUUUCUUUUUCUUUUUUUUUUUUGAGAAAAAAUGGCAAUAUUUAAAAGAGAGACAAAUUGUAUAAAUUAGAUUUUAUUAAGUGCUUAUUUGGUCCUCUAAUUUUAUAUAAAAAAUUAUUUUAACUCUUCAUUUGUUUUUUUUACUUUUUGUAGUCCUUAAAGUUUUUUUUGUCGUCCUUAAACCAAGUUGGUUUGUUUACUUUUGUUUUUUCGUUAAAAAUAUCGCUUUACCUUAAAAAAAUAUUAUGAUUAAACUAAAUACUAAUUAAAAAAGGUAAGGCAUACUGGCAACUUUAGCCCAUAGAUCUUUCAUUUAUUUGUCAAUUUAGUCCUUUUUUUAAUUAAAUUUGACCCUCAAUUUUUUAAAAAGAAUCAAAUUUAAUCAUUAAUCUUUUAAAAAGAAUUGAAUUGAUUUUUUAAUAGAAAUACUAACUAACAUGUUAAAUUUUUAAACAUUGCAGCCCACAUUGCAAUCUAAAUGUACAUCAUGCUAUUUUUUGAAUUUUUAUGAAGCUUUUAUCCUCUCUUUUUUUCUUGAAUAUUUUUGUAACUUUUAAAAUAUUUGUUGACAUGUAUAUAUGACAAACAGUUUCAUGUCAAAAAAGGUGCACGUAGACUACCACACAAGUUGACACAUCAAAAUCAUUAAAGAAUAUUUUAAUCAACAUUUUUAUUAAAAAACAACAUUUAAUUCUUUUUUGAAAGAUUAACAGCUAAAUUUAACUUAAAAUAAUAAUAAUAAUAAUAAUAAUAAUAAUAAUAAUUAAAGUGGAAAAAAACUGUAAAACUAAAUUUAUCACUAUCCCGAAAGUUAAUGCUACAAACUAUCAUACACUCAUCCUUAUUAUUUUUGGAUUUAAAUAGAAGUGCAUCAAUAAACCGAGAUAUUAUUUUGUAGAUUAUUCCUACCACGUCAAUCAUGAUUGAUAUUCAAUAGUCAUGUAAAAAUAUUUUUCCACAUCAACUUCCUCCUUGGCCUAUUACUUUCUUCUUCUUCUUUUUUCUCUUCCUACCUGCAACCUUUGUUCCCCACAUUCUUUUCUUGCGAAGCCAAAACAACUACGAAACAAGUGACGAAGAAGAGUUUGAAGAAGAAGAAAAUGGGUAGGAUGGAGACCCCAUGGCUACCACGCCACUUAUAAGACCCAAGUCGAGAUCUGGUAAUUGGACGUCGAACGACAAUAAUCACUUAACCAGCUCCUUUUUUCACAUUGCUCAUUUGGGGUUUUUUAGUUUUAAAAUUUGUUAAGUAACUAAAUCUUUUGAAUCUGUUGAUUUUGGGAUUUUCUAUUUCUUUUAUGAACAGAUUUAGAGAAUCAAAUGGAGGGAAAUGUUUAUUCCAACAUUAAAAAAUUACUAUUUUUUAAAUAAGAAAAUAUUGCUACUAUUCUUGAAAUUGUAUUUGAAUGUUUGAUUAUUAUGUUCUCUUGUUUGUCCAAAAGGGGAUUUUUAUUUUAUGAAUGCCGUUGAUUAAAACUGUAGGAGAAAGUAACGAUCCGAUUACUUUAGCCAUGUUAGAUGAAGAAAAUAUAUGCUUAAAUGCUUUUUUCAUCAUUUAAAAUCUGGGUAGGCAAGAAGGAAGGUGAGUAAGCCGGCAAUAUAUUUUAGUGAUGUGUAAAAAUAUUCUUACACGGUAAUUCAUUAUUAAUGGUCUAUAUAAUAAUUAUUAAGGAGUUGGAAUGGAUUUUUUUUUAUACCUACAAACGUAAAUAAACCAAGAAAAAAAGUGCGCAUUGCAUGCUUGUAUAUUUCAACAAAAAAAUUAUAUUAUAUCUCCAACAUUAAGCAAGUUCUUCUUCACCUCACAUUUGUUCACCCAUAAUGGGAACAUCGGUGUAUCUUUUAUUGAUAACUGUGAUCCAACCAAAAGAAAAAGUAGGAGAUUGAUAUAUUAGUAGAAUAAGACGUAGCGACAUAUAUGCAUCAUAGUUGAAAGGGAUACAGGGAAACCAUACGUAUAACAAAAAGCAAAGAAACAGAUAAGAGUCCACAAAAGUAGCAACCUUUACGAUUCGAAUAAUGAAUAGGGCGUUUAUUGUCAUAGAUAGGUUGAUAAACAUCAACCUAUCUACAGUAAGGGCUAUUACCCUUACAAUUUUUGUUAUGAUUAUCUGGGUUUGGUGGUGGAAGACAAUUCGAAUAACUAGGACCGCAGUCCUUUUGCUUUACCGCUGGCUUAUCCUUUGUAAGCGUGCUGUAUAUUUUACCGACAGUUUUAUCGACCCCGAGGAUUCUGAUAACGGUAGAAUCUAUCAUCAACAAAUCCAGCUCCGACUCCAAUUCUUCCCGGAUCCCGCAGCCGCCGAGAAAGCCAUUGCACUGGUAAGUGGCGUUGCUCCUCAGUACUAGGACGGCGUCUCUGCCGCUAAUUGGUUUUAGGAGAAUCAUCAUCAUCACUAACCCCACCAACUCACGAAACCCCAUUUUCUUUUUCCUUUGUUUCCCCUCGCCCUGGAAUGGGAAAGCGCGGCCUGCUCACUUUAUAGAGGGUAGAGGAAAGAUUAAUUAAUUAUUGGAGGCUAAUAUAUUUAACAAGUCCUUGAACUUUAUUACUUUAUUUUAAUAAGCCCUCAUACUUUUGUUCCAUCCAAAUAAACCUUUAGAUUUCAAUUAGUACCUAAAUUUAGUCACUUUAUUUAAAUAGGCUUUUAUACUUUC